GGGCUCAGUGGUAGAGCAUCUGCCUUGCAAGCAGAAGGUCCCGGGUUCAACCUCCACCCCUCCAUGCA